ACUCCAGUGGCGCAAUCGGUCAGCGCGCGGUAUUUACGAUGCUGAGAUUGUGAGUUCGAGCCUCGCCUGGAGCA